AUGGGGGCGGGGAAGGAGGCUCCCGGCGGCGUCGACGGCGCCGCCGAGCCGCCGCCGCCGGUCGUGCUCAAGAUGGUCUUGCAUUGCGCCGGCUGCGCCAAGAAGGUCCGCAACAGCAUCAAGAGCAUGCCUGGUACGCGCCCGCUCCAUCCCGCCGCCAAUUUCCCUGCUCCCGUGCUCCCUUCUCUGCAUUUUGUGUUAGUCUGGUGGCUGAUUCGUGUGCUUGUCUGGACUUGUCGCGCAGGCGUGCAGGCGGUGGUGGCGGACGCGGCGUCGAACAGGGUCGUCGUGGCGGGGACGGCCGACGCGGCCGCGCUCAAGGCGAGGAUCGAGUCCCGCACCAAGAAGCCCGUCGAGAUCGUCUCCUCCGGCGCCGGCGCCGGCCCGGCCAAGCCCCCAGCAGCCCCCGCCGCGGCCGAGAAGAAGAGCCCCGACAAGGAGAAUCCCGACAAGGGGGGCGGCGGAGCCGACAAGGGGGAUAAGCCCGGCUCCUCCAAGCCGCAGCCGCCCAAAGAGGAAGACGCGGCGAAGAAGCAACCGCCCACCCACACAGAGGAGAAGAAACCCACGGAGCUCCAGGUCGGUACACAAGCAGCAGCAAAUCCUACCCCCACGCAAUACUCUGCUCCCAACCACCACGCCCGUCCCACCGACCUUGCGGCUCACAAUGUCUCCGCUUCGAUUUUGCUUUCGCAGGAGACCACGGUGCUGCUCAAGAUCCGCCUCCACUGCGACGGCUGCGCCGACCGCAUCAGGCGCCGAAUCUACAAAAUCAAAGGGGUCAAGCAUGUGGAGCUGGAGGGCAAUGCCAAGGACGAGGUGAAGGUCACGGGGACCAUGGACGUCCCCGCCAUGGUGGCGUAUCUCACGGAGAAGCUCAACCGCGCCGUCGAGGCCGUCGCGCCCGGCAAGAAGGACAAGGGCGGCAGCGACGAGAAGAAGGACAAGGGCGCCGGCGACGGCGAGAAGAAGGACAAAGCGGCGGGCGGUGACCACGUCGUCAUGAGCCAGGACAAGGGGAAAGGCAUCGAGGUGACGGGCCCGUCCAUGGCGUCCGCCGCGGCGUCCGUGGCGCCCGCGCCGGUCCAGCCGAGGACGCACCACGUCUCGCCGUACGGCCAAGUCCCGUACCCGCAGCCGCAGGGCCCCCCGCCCAGCUACUACAGCCCCUAUGGCGGCAAUGCCGACGGCGCGGGGUACGCCGGCGCCGGCGGCUACUACCAACAACAACAGCACCCCAGCGCGAACUCCGGCGGCUACUACCAGCAGCAACACCCGGGCGGCGAAUCCGGCGGCUACUACCAGCAACCAAGAGAGGCCGGCGGCUACUACCAGCAGCAACACCACCCCAGCGGCGGCUACUACCAGCAGGAGAACCCCAACCCCCAGGCGUACCAGCCGUCGUACCCGCCGCCCUACCACUUCGACACGGCGCCGCCUCCGCAGAUGUUCAGCGACGAGAACCCCAACUCGUGCUCCGUCAUGUGA
rnacentral:rRNA from 1 species